rnacentral:lncRNA from 1 species
ACAUGGACGUGCUGACCCAACAAUUUGGUGUGCUGCGCAUUGGACAUGAGGCCAUGCAAAACACUGCAACUCAAACCCAGCAAGCCCUCCUAGAUCUCCAAGUCCAACACAACAUAGGCUGGAACAGGAUGUAUGCACACCAUCAGAGGCCACUACCACCAAAUAUUUCAUUCAUCCCUAUGCCACCACAAUGGCAGCAAGACCCAUCUCCACUGUAUCUUCCACCAUAUCCUCAGCAGCCCUCAUAUCCUCCACCAUAUCCAUAUAACUAUCCACCAUAUUAGUGAGGAGGCAUGAGAAGAGACAAGCAUGGGGGAGAUCCUCUCCCCCACCAAGGUAAGCAUUCUGGCUCUUUUAAAUUUAUUGCAAUUUCAGUUGUUCUAUGCUUCAUGUAAUAAAAAAAUAUAAUAAAAAAAUAAUAAAAUUUGCCAUGCAUAACAUCUUUCUCCUAGAAAUGAUGAAUAGUUGCUCUGUUAAUAUUUCUCUAGUAUCUAGCACUCAACUUAGUAUUUUUCCAAGUAUGGAUCACUUGGCUCAGAUAAGACAACCACGAACCUGAUUUCUUUUUGUGGGUGGCAAGUGCUAAAACUACAUCUAAGUUGUUGUGAGAUAGUAAGACAAGAGCUGCUAUAUUUUUAUUCUAAGCUUGCAUGAUUAUCGGAGAAUUUAUUUGGAAAAUAUCAAAAAACAAUGGUUCCUCAAUGAUUAUAAAAUUCCCAGCAAGGCCUAAUAUUUAUGCUCCAUAGAUAUAUACAUACUUUAGCCAUAGCUGCUUCCAAUUGUUGGGGUUUUGUCAAGGAUUGAACUUAACUUAGAUGGGAGUAAUAUGUUUAGACUGAGACACACUUUGCACCC